rnacentral:lncRNA from 1 species
AUGGAUGUACCACCUUAAUUUUAGGGUGGUGAGACCCAUUAUUAUUUUUAAGGGGCAAUUGCCUAUAUAUCCCUGAAAAGUUUCCGAUUUUCUUAUUUACCCCUCUUAGAAGGCUAAUAUUGAAAAUACCCUUCUUAUUUUCCAAGUUUUUUUAAAAUGCCCCUGGAGUUAAGUUCCGUUAGUGAGCUGCUGUUAUUUCUGAAAAAUUAUCAUUUUGCCCAUUCCAAUAUACCCUUGUAUCGUAACAAACUUUUCUUAUAUACCCUUCAUAUAGCAAAUACUUUUCUUAUUUGCCCUUCAGUCUAAUCCGGAGCGGAGGGCGUGUAGGGGUCCGAUGGCGUUGCGGCCCUCUUGCUCCCGGCGCUGGCCAAGGUAGCGGAGGAGGAGGAUGACGACGAGAGCGGCGAGAAAUGGGAUUGUUGCUGCGGCCCUCUUGCUCCCGGCGCCGGCCGAGACGGCGGAGGAGGAAGAUGACGGCGACGAGAGCGGCGGUGGAGGAGGACGACGAGAGCGACGAGAGGGGUAGUGUUGGAGGUGGAGGUGUGGGAGGUGGUGGUGGUCUAGGAGGAGAUGAGGCGAGGUGGAAGCGGAGGAGCCGGCCGGUGGUGGCGGAGGAGCCGACCGGUGGUGGCGACCAAGUUGGGAAAAAAAAGAGAGGAUAAUCUUAGGGAUUAGUAUAAUAAGGUAGGGGCAAAAUAGGUAUUUUGUUUAGGUUUUAACUCUAGCAUACAUUUAACUCAUGUUUAACCCGAGUUAAACUAACAGGGGAUAACUGCGGGGGUAUUUUGGAAUAACGGCGGAACAUACGAGGGGUAUUUUAGAAAGAAAAAAAAAGUAGAGGUAGAUCGGAUAUUUCCGAACGCAUGAAGGGUAUAUAGGCAAUUAUCCCUAUUUUUAAUUUGUUUACUCUCUUUUAUUUUAGUAAAACUAUUUUCGCUCUCACAAGUCACAACCAUCUUUUUCAACCUUCUUUUUCUCUCCUUUUUUUCUUCCCAUCUCUUAUUUUUUUUAAUUUCCUGAACCAACAAAGGUGUCUUUUCUUCUCCCCUUACCUCACUUACAGAGCGGUUAUAAAUCUCUCAACGUAUGAUUUUAGAUUUUUUUUUCUCUCCCCUUUUUUGUCGCUCACCGCUCGGAGCCCUCCGACCCUCAUUCACUGCUCCUCAUGCGCCCUUGACAAAGACGACUCGCGGUGCCAUCACUAGUUGCGCUAUUCUCAACAAUUAU